rnacentral:rRNA from 1 species
UGGGGAAUAUUGGACAAUGGGCGCAAGCCUGAUCCAGCCAUGCCGCGUGAGUGAUGAAGGCCCUAGGGUUGUAAAGCUCUUUCACCGGUGAAGAUAAUGACGGUAACCGGAGAAGAAGCACCGGCUAACUUCGUGCCAGCAGCCGCGGUAAUACGAAGGGGGCUAGCGUUGUUCGGAUUUACUGGGCGUAAAGCGUACGUAGGCGGACUUUUAAGUCAGGGGUGAAAUCCCGGGGCUCAACCCCGGAACUGCCUUUGAUACUGGAAGUCUUGAGUAUGGUAGAGGUGAGUGGCAUUCCGAGUGUAGAGGUGAAAUUCGUAGAUAUUCGGAGGCACACCAGUGGCGAAGGCGGCUCACUGUACCAUUACAUACGCUGAGGUGUGAAAGCGUGGAGAGCAAACAGG